rnacentral:tRNA from 1 species
AGGAUUUUAGUUAAUUUCAAUAACAUUUAAAUUGCAUUUAAAUAUAAUAUAAUAAAUAAAAUAUAUAAAUCUUA